rnacentral:rRNA from 1 species
UACGUAGGGCGCAAGCGUUGUCCGGAAUUAUUGGGCGUAAAGAGCUCGUAGGCGGCCCGUUGCGUCGGCUGUGAAAACCCGAGGCUCAACCUCGGGCCUGCAGUCGAUACGGACGGGCUAGAGUGCGGCAGGGGAGACUGGAAUUCCUGGUGUAGCGGUGAAAUGCGCAGAUAUCAGGAGGAACACCGGUGGCGAAGGCGGGUCUCUGGGCCGCUACUGACGCUGAGGAGCGAAAGCGUGGGGAG